rnacentral:rRNA from 1 species
UAGGAAUUUUGCGCAAUGGGCGAAAGCCUGACGCAGCAACGCCGCGUGAGGGAAGAAGGCCUUCGGGUUGUAAACCUCUUUUAGCAGGGACGAACACAAUGACGGUACCUGCAGAAAAAGCACCGGCUAACUACGUGCCAGCAGCCGCGGUAAUACGUAGGGUGCAAGCGUUAUUCGGAUUUAUUGGGCGUAAAGCGCAUGCAGGCGGUCUGGUAAGUCUGGUGUGAAAGCCCUCGACUUAAUCGAGGAAGUGCAUUGGAUACUGUCAGACUAGAGUGCAGGAGGGGUGAGCGGAAUUCCGGGUGUAGAGGUGAAAUUCGUAGAUAUCCGGAGGAACAACAGCGGCGAAGGCGGCUCACUGGACUGUAACUGACGCUCAGAUGCGAUAGUGUGGGGAGCGAAC